rnacentral:rRNA from 1 species
AGAUUGAACGCUGGCGGCAGGCCUAACACAUGCAAGUCGAGCGGCAGCACGGGUACUUGUACCUGGUGGCGAGCGGCGGACGGGUGAGUAAUGCCUAGGAAUCUGCCUGGUAGUGGGGGAUAACGCUCGGAAACGGACGCUAAUACCGCAUACGUCCUACGGGAGAAAGCGGGGGACCUUCGGGCCUCGCGCCAUUAGAUGAGCCUAGGUCGGAUUAGCUAGUUGGUGAGGUAAUGGCUCACCAAGGCGACGAUCCGUAACUGGUCUGAGAGGAUGAUCAGUCACACUGGAACUGAGACACGGUCCAGACCUCCGUAGGGACGGCAGCGAG